rnacentral:rRNA from 1 species
UACAGGGGGUGCUAGCGUUGUUCGGAAUUACUGGGCGUAAAGGGCGCGUAGGCGGUUUCGCAAGUCAGAAGUGAAAUCCCGGAGCUUAACUCCGGAACUGCUUCUGAUACUGCGAGGCUUGAGUGUAUUAGAGGAUGGCGGAAUUCCUAGUGUAGUGGUGAAAUACGUAGAUAUUAGGAAGAACACCGGUGGCGAAGGCGGCCAUCUGGGAUACAACUGACGCUGAGGCGCGAAAGCGUGGGGAGCAAACAGG